GACUACACCACUGGACAGGUGUUUGACUUGUCUGAGAAGCUCGAGCAGGCAGAAGCUCAGCUGGGACGAGGCAGUUUCAUGUUGGGCUUAGAUACUCAUGAUAGGAAAUCUGAGGAUAAACUUGCAAAAGCAACACGUGACAGCUGCAAGACAACCAUUGAAGCAAUUCAUGGUUUGAUGUCCCAGGUUAUCAAAGAUAAACUCUUCAAUCAAGUGAACACAUCUUCCAACUAAACUUGGAAGGAACUUAAGUUAGAUGACUUCACAUGCAGUGUUUGCUUAGUUAUGUGUUCCUUCGUUACGAUUCUGCUUUGAAAGAUUCAGAGGAAUUCUCCUGUAGGAAUGUUUGCGUCAUUUAUCAUUUGUUUAAACAAAGAAAUAAAUGCUGUUCGGGUUGAUUCGUUGA